rnacentral:rRNA from 1 species
CUACGGGAUGCUCCAGUGGGGAAUAUUGCACAAUGGAGGAAACUCUGAUGCAGCAACGCCGCGUGGAGGAUGACACUUUUCGGAGCGUAAACUCCUUUUAUAUAGGAAGAAGAUGACGGUACUAUAUGAAUAAGCGCCGGCUAACUCCGUGCCAGCAGCCGCGGUAAUACGGAGGGCACAAGCGUUACUCGGAAUCACUGGGCGUAAAGAGCGUGUAGGCGGAUUAAAAAGUCAGAAGUGAAAUCCUAUAGCUUAACUAUAGAACUGCUUCUGAAACUCUUAAUCUAGAAUAUGGGAGAGGUAGAUGGAAUUUCUGGUGUAGGGGUAAAAUCCGUAGAGAUCAGAAGGAAUACCGAUUGCGAAGGCGAUCUACUAGAACAUUAUUGACGCUGAGACGCGAAAGCGUGGAGAGCAAACAGGAUUAGAUACCCCAGUAGUC